CACGUCCCUCCAGCAGCCCAGCUCCGCCCGCAGCCGCCGCGGACCAGGCCAGCACCGCCGCCAUGAUGUGCGAGGUGAUGCCCACCAUCAGCGAGGAUGGCCGGCGGGGCUCGGCGCUGGGCCCGGACGAAGCGGGCGGCGAGCUGGAGCGCCUCAUGGUCACGAUGCUCACGGAGCGCGAGCGCCUGCUGGAGACGUUGCGCGAGGCGCAGGACGGACUGGCUACGGCGCAGCUGCGGCUGCGCGAGCUGGGACACGAGAAGGAUUCGCUGCAGCGACAGCUCAGCAUCGCGCUGCCCCAGGAGUUUGCAGCUCUGACGAAGGAGCUGAACUUAUGUCGGGAGCAGCUGCUGGAACGGGAGGAAGAGAUCGCAGAGCUGAAGGCGGAGCGGAACAACACGCGGCUUCUACUGGAACAUCUGGAGUGCCUGGUGUCCAGGCACGAGAGGUCACUGCGCAUGACGGUGGUGAAGCGCCAGGCCCAGUCCCCGGGCGGGGUCUCUUCCGAGGUGGAGGUGCUCAAGGCUCUAAAAUCCCUCUUCGAGCACCACAAGGCCCUGGAUGAGAAGGUCCGGGAGCGGCUGCGGAUGGCGCUGGAGCGGGUGGCUGUGCUAGAGGAGGAGCUGGAGAUGAGCAACCAGGAGACUCUGAACCUCCGAGAACAGCUGUCUAGGCGCCGGUCAGGCCUGGAGGAGCCCGGCAAGGAUGGGGAUGGGCAGACCCUUACCAAUGGCCUUGGUCCUGGCGGGGAUUCCAACCGGCGCACAGCUGAGCUGGAGGAGGCCCUGGAGCGGCAGCGAGCUGAGGUGUGCCAGCUGCGGGAGCGCCUGGCGGUGUUGUGCCGCCAGAUGAGCCAGCUGGAGGAGGAGCUGGGCACCGCCCACCGCGAGCUGGGUAAGGCCGAGGAAGCUAACGCCAAGCUCCAGCGCGACCUCAAGGAGGCUUUGGCGCAGCGGGAGGAUAUGGAGGAGCGGAUCACGACGCUGGAGAAGCGCUACCUGAGUGCCCAGCGCGAGGCCACGUCUCUGCACGACGCCAACGAUAAGCUGGAGAACGAGUUGGCCAGCAAAGAGUCGCUGUACCGGCAGAGCGAAGAGAAGAGCCGCCAGCUGGCCGAGUGGCUGGACGACGCCAAGCAGAAGCUGCAGCAGACGCUGCAGAAGGCAGAGACCUUGCCCGAGAUAGAGGCGCAGCUGGCCCAGCGCGUGGCCGCGCUCAAUAAAGCUGAGGAACGUCAUGGGAACUUUGAGGAGAGGCUUCGGCAGCUGGAAGCCCAGUUGGAGGAGAAGAACCAAGAACUGCAGCGGGCCCGGCAGCGGGAGAAGAUGAAUGACGACCACAAUAAGCGGCUGUCUGAAACAGUAGACAAACUGCUGAGCGAGUCCAAUGAACGGUUGCAGCUUCACCUCAAGGAGCGGAUGGGGGCACUGGAGGAAAAGAACUCACUGAGUGAGGAGAUUGCCAACAUGAAGAAGCUUCAGGAUGAACUGCUGCUCAACAAAGAGCAGCUCUUGGCAGAGAUGGAGCGAAUGCAGAUGGAGAUUGACCAGCUACGGGGGAGGCCACCAUCCUCCUACUCCAGGUCUCUCCCUGGUAGUGCCCUGGAGCUCCGUUAUUCCCAGGCACCUACAUUACCUUCCGGCACCCACCUGGACCCUUAUGGGGCUGGCAGUGGCCGAGUAGGCAAGAGGAACCGCUGGUCAGGGGUCAAGGAUGAGGCCUCCAAGGAGUGGGAGCGAUCUGCCCCUGCAGGGUCCAUGCCACCCCCGUUCCCUGGGGAACUGGAUGGCUCAGACGAGGAGGAGGCAGAGGGGAUGUUUGGGGCUGAGCUGCUGUCCCCCAGUGGGCAGGCCGAUGUGCAGACACUGGCCAUCAUGCUCCAGGAGCAGCUGGAAGCCAUCAACAAGGAGAUCAAGCUAAUCCAAGAGGAGAAGGAGACAACAGAACAAAGGGCAGAAGAGCUGGAGAGCCGGGUAUCUGGUUCUGGCCUGGACUCACUAGGCCGCUACCGCAGUAGCUGCUCCUUGCCCCCCUCUCUCACCACCUCUACCCUUGCCAGCCCUUCCCCUCCCAGCUCCGGUCACUCAACACCCCGUCUGGCACCCCCUAGUCCUGCUCGUGAGGGCACCGACAAAGCUAAUCAUGUCCCCAAGGAGGAAGCUGGGGCUCCACGAGGGGAGGGGCCAGCCAUCCCAGGAGACACCCCACCCCCCACUCCCCGCUCUGCCCGCCUUGAGAGAAUGACCCAAGCCUUGGCACUGCAGGCAGGAUCCCUGGAAGAUGGGGGGCCCUCACGGGGAAGUGAGGGCACCCCAGAUUCCCUGCACAAAGCCCCCAAGAAGAAGAGCAUCAAGUCAUCCAUAGGCCGUCUCUUUGGCAAGAAGGAGAAGGGGCGAAUGGGACCACCAGGACGAGACAGCUCUUCUCUGGCUGGAACACCCUCAGAUGAGAUGUUGGCCACUGACCCUCUGGGGCUAGCCAAGCUGACAGGCCCAGGAGACAAGGACCGAAGGAACAAGAGGAAGCAUGAACUUCUGGAAGAGGCCUGCCGCCAGGGCCUGCCCUUCGCCGCCUGGGAUGGCCCCACCGUGGUCUCCUGGCUGGAGCUGUGGGUAGGCAUGCCUGCGUGGUAUGUGGCCGCCUGCCGGGCCAAUGUCAAGAGUGGUGCCAUCAUGGCCAACUUGUCAGACACGGAGAUUCAGCGCGAGAUCGGCAUCAGCAACCCGCUGCACCGGCUCAAGCUGCGCCUCGCCAUCCAGGAGAUGGUCUCACUCACCUCACCCUCUGCCCCCGCCUCCUCCCGCACGUCCACAGGAAAUGUGUGGAUGACACACGAGGAGAUGGAGUCCCUUACGGCCACGACAAAGCCUGAGACCAAGGAGAUCAGCUGGGAGCAGAUCCUGGCAUAUGGCGACAUGAACCACGAGUGGGUGGGGAACGACUGGCUGCCCAGCCUGGGGCUGCCCCAAUACCGCAGCUACUUCAUGGAAUCGCUGGUGGAUGCCCGCAUGUUAGAUCAUCUUAACAAGAAGGAGCUCCGGGGCCAACUCAAGAUGGUGGACAGCUUCCACAGGGUGAGUCUGCAUUAUGGGAUCAUGUGCCUGAAACGGCUCAACUAUGACCGGAAAGACUUGGAGCGGAGGCGGGAAGAAAGUCAGACCCAGAUCCGAGAUGUGAUGGUGUGGUCCAAUGAGCGGGUCAUGGGUUGGGUGUCCGGACUGGGACUGAAGGAAUUUGCCACUAACCUCACGGAGAGCGGGGUGCACGGGGCACUACUGGCCCUCGACGAGACCUUUGACUACUCCGACCUGGCCUUGCUCCUGCAGAUCCCCACGCAGAAUGCACAGGUAAGCUGCCGCUUGGCCCGGAUCGUACUGGGUAUCCCCACCUCGCAGUCUGCAAGCUACAACUCCUCUCCCACCUCCCUUCCCCAGGCUCGGCAGCUCCUGGAAAAGGAAUUCAGUAACCUCAUCUCCUUGGGCACAGACAGGCGGCUGGACGAGGACAGCGCCAAGUCCUUCAGCCGCUCUCCUUCCUGGAGGAAGAUGUUUCGAGAGAAGGACCUCCGAGGUGUAACCCCCGACUCAGCUGAGAUGUUGCCCCCCAACUUUCGCUCGGCCGCAGCAGGGGCUCUGGGCUCGCCGGGGCUCCCUCUUCGCAAGCUGCAAUCGGAAGGUGGGCGGCUCCACAAAGCGGCAAUCCUUCCUCCCUUCUUCUUCGGGGUGGGAAAAGGACCAGUUCAACCUUCCAGAAGCCUCCCCCUCCAGGUUCUGAAAUGGCCUAGCCUAUUCUCCCCCACUCUUGGCAAAUGGGCCGCUCCAGUAUGCCAACUCUGUCCUCCGGGUGUGAAAUGGAUUAAUCUUGCACCUCCUUUCCUGGGCGGGAAAUGAGCUCGCUUAGAGUCACCUGGGGCACCUUGGGUGAAUCCAGUGCUGCGGGGAAAGGGAAGGAAACCGGCGAAGAUUAGGCGGUCGUUGUCAUUUCGGAAGGAGAAUUCCGAGGAAGGAAGCUUGGGGUUGAGGCUAGGAGAAGCCCCAGGGAGGACUGGGCGUGUGUGCGCGCUGAGCCGCUGCUUGCUCCAGGCUGAACCGCUGCUCGCUUUCCCUCCAGGCCAGACUUCGGGGAAUUCCCGGGCAGACGGCGUUUCGGUCCGGACCUAUUCCUGCUAGUGCAGGCCUCCAGGUGACCUCACUCGGAUGGAAGAAUCUUCCAGAGGCUGGGCUGUUUCCCUUCCAGCCCAGAGUGUGGUCCGGCCCGGGAGCGCGGCCCCGGAGCUCGUCCCGCGGACUGGACCAUCUGCACAGACUAGAGGGGAGCGCGCGUCCCCGCCUCACAAAUGGACUGGGCCUGGACCAAACCACAUGAACUGGACCGAGAGGGGGAAAGAAGAGGGCAGGAAGAAAUCCCGCCCCAAACUUCCACCUCCCUUUUCUCUACUUUGUAAUUUAUUGUUCAGUUUCCGGUGGGAGACGAGUGCCCAUUCCCCGCGGGCAGGAGGCGGGGUUUCCCUCCCGGGCCGCAUGCGAGGAGAGGCUGCCCCCUCCCCUUUCUCCCCCGUCGCGGGGCCCAAGUCUUCCUUCUUCGUCCGAAAGGAGGGGAGGGGGGACUCGCUGCUACAAGCCUCGCCCCUGUGCCACUCAGCCCCGCCCCGCCCUCUAGUCGCCCACGGGGGUCAGCUGUGGGCGGGGUCCCUCUCCCCAGUGUCUCGUGUCCCCGGGGCCCCUCCGCCCCCCGUGCUGUGGCCGUGUCCGUGCCCCAGGGGUAGGGGGCGCAUAACUGCGCUCCCCGUUCCCCUCUGGCUCCGGGGUUUGCAUGGGAGAAUCCUCUUUCCACGAUGCCACUGGGCGAUGUGGCGUGGGGGAGGGAGGACGGUGGGGGAGCCCUCGCCCCAAACUCUUGGUCGGCCUCCCUGCCUCAGGCGUCACUCAGUGAUCACGGGUAAAGAGAACUGUUUC